CCUACGGGAGGCAGCAGUGGGGAAUAUUGGACAAUGCGGGGAACCCUGAUCCAGCGACGCCGCGUGAGUGAAGAAGUAUUUCGGUAUGUAAAGCUCUAUCAGCAGGGAAGAAAAUGACGGUACCUGACUAAGAAGCCCCGGCUAACUACGUGCCAGCAGCCGCGGUAAUACGUAGGGGGCAAGCGUUAUCCGGAGUGACUGGGUGUAAAGGGAGCGUAGACGGUGCAGCAAGUCUGAUGUGAAAGGUCGGAGCCCAACCCUGGGACGGCAAGGGAUACUGUUGAACUGGAGUACAAGAGAGGAUAGCAGAAUUCCUGGUGUAGCGGUGAAAUGCGUAGAUAUUAGGAGGAACACCAGUAGCGAAGGCGGCUUACUGGACUGUAACUGACGUUGAGGCUCGAAAGCGUGGGGAGCAAACAGGAUUAGAUACCCUUGUAGUC
rnacentral:rRNA from 1 species